CGGAAUAUAGCGCAGCCUGGUAGCGCGCACCCUUGGGGUGGGUGAGGUCGUGGGUUCGAAUCCCGCUAUUCCGA
rfam:Tumebacillus sp. AR23208, complete genome.